rnacentral:sRNA from 1 species
GGAGCUCCCGUGGGGCUCAAGGCCUUGUUUGCACAGUAACAGGACAACACACACAGUAGCAGUGCAGGCUUCCUUUGUAUUGCCCCACCAAUGUGCAUCUAACUUUCCCCAGAACGACCAGUUCUUUGGGUGAGGGAACAAGUCACUCUCUUUAGCCCAUGAUGUCCUUAGCAUCUGCAGAC